rnacentral:lncRNA from 1 species
UGGAUAUCAACAUUUAUUCAUAUUUGUUUAUCAUUGGUCAAAAUAUUACAGUGCAUAGUCUUAGAAAUAAACUUGUCAAAAAAAAAUCUGGAAGUAUUAUAGUGCUUUGUACAGUCUUGGUACAAAACUUGUACAAUUGCAUAUCUAUCUCUGCAGUAUUUCCUCAACAUAGUUUCUGACAUUAACAUGAAGCAUACUCUUGGUCUCUUCGUAGACUUCCUUAGCAAAUUUCUUCAUCUCCUCAGAACUCUUCAUUAAGGCUUUGUAUACAGGUAAUGUGUAUUUCUGUUUUCCUGCAAUUAAACAACAAGGUA